UGUACCGUCACCUGUGGGUGUCAGCCGUCAGGACUAUCACCAGAACUAGGACUUGCACCAACCCACCGCCGAGCAAUGGAGGAGCCUUCUGUACAGAAUCCUUUCAAUACAGCUUUCGAAGCUGUGGCCUUGGAGCAUGCCCCGUGGAGGUGGAUGGAGGACUCUCGCAGUGGACACAGUGGAGUGUGGUGCCUUGUACCCGAA